CAAUAGCGUAUAUUAAAGUUGUUGCGGUAAAAAAGCUCGUAGUUGGAUUUCUACCGAAGAUAGCCGGUCGGGUCUUCGACCUUGUAUCUGGUUUUGUCUUUGGUAUCCUCAUAGGGAACGUUUCUGCGCUUUAUUGCGUGGUGCGGUAUCUAUGACUUUUACUUUGAGGAAAUUAGAGUGUUCACGGCAGGCAAACGCCUUGAAUAUAUUAGCAUGGAAUAAUAACAUAGGAUCUUCGUCCUAUUUUGUUGGUUUCUAGGGCUAAGAUAAUGAUUAAUAGGGAUAAUUAGGGGCAUCUGUAUCAACGCGUCAGAGGUGGAAUUCUUGGAUUGCGUUGCGACAAACUACUGCGAAAGCAUUUGCCAAGGAUGUUUUCAUUGAC
rnacentral:rRNA from 1 species